rnacentral:rRNA from 1 species
UGGGGAAUAUUGCACAAUGGGCGAAAGCCUGAUGCAGCAACGCCGCGUGAGGGACGACGGCCUUCGGGUUGUAAACCCCUUUUAGCAAGGAAGAAGCGAAAGUGACGGUACUUGCAGAAAAAGCGCCGGCUAACUACGUGCCAGCAGCCGCGGUAAUACGUAGGGCGCAAGCGUUAUCCGGAAUUAUUGGGCGUAAAGAGCUCGUAGGCGGUUUGUCGCGUCUGCUGUGAAAACCCGAGGCUCAACCUCGGGCCUGCAGUGGGUACGGGCAGACUAGAGUGCGGUAGGGGAGAUUGGAACUCCUGGUGUAGCGGUGGAAUGCGCAGAUAUCAGGAAGAACACCGAUGGCGAAGGCAGAUCUCUGGGCCGUAACUGACGCUGAGGAGCGAAAGGGUGGGGAGCAAACAGGCUUAGAUACCCUGGUAGUCCACCCCGUAAACGUUGGGAACUAGUUGUGGGGUCCAUUCCACGGAUUCCGUGACGCAGCUAACGCAUUAAGUUCCCCGCCUGGGGGAGUACGGCCGCAAGGCUAAAACUUAAAUGAAUUGACGGGGUCAUAGCUGUUUCCU